AAAAGGUUAACGUUAGGGGGACCCCGGGGCCCGACCGAACGACGGUGGAGGCAUGUGGUUUAAUUCGACGCAACGCGAAGAACCUUACCAGGGCUUGACAUCCCCUGACCGCGUAUGAAAGUACGUUUCACCCUCGGGUGACAGGGAGACAGGUGGUGCAUGGUUGUCGUCAGCUCGUGUCGUGAGAUGUUGGGUUAAGUCCCGCAACGAGCGCAACCCCUACGUUUAGUUGCUAACGCGUGAAGGCGAGCACUCUAGACGAACUGCCGUUGACAAAACGGAGGAAGGUGGGGAUGACGUCAAAUCAUCAUGCCCCUUAUGUUCUGGGCUACACACGUGCUACAAUGGCCGGUACGGACGGACGCAAAGCCGCGAGGUGGAGCAAAUCCUAAAAAGCCGGUCUCAGUUCGGAUUGCAGGCUGCAAUUCGCCUGCAUGAAGUCGGAAUCGCUAGUAAUCGCAGGUCAGCAUACUGCGGUGAAUACGUUCCCGGGCCUU
rnacentral:rRNA from 1 species